UGUGAUUACUCAUGUCUCCUGACUGACCAAGGUCCACAUUUGUCAAGGUCAAGAGUUGGGCAGAAGCUCUGGUUUCUCUUUAAGAGAUAAAUGCAGAGGGAACACCAGAGGACGUUUUUCUUCAACUCUGCACAGCUAUUGACUCUAUUUUCUGAAGGCAAAAAUGCAUGUUAGAAUGGAAACAGAAAAACAUUAAAAAGUUCAUUCCUUAACACAA
rnacentral:sRNA from 1 species